CGAGAACGAGAGGAAGCAAACAGCCAAUGAGCGAAGUGGAAGCCUGCGUCACGCUUUUGACGUCUGCUUGGGGACCGUAUAAUAUAUUGAGAAGCGUUUGCAACAUGUUGAGAAAUAUUUUGCUAUUAUGAGUGAGUAGCAAAAUAUGUUGGUGUUGCUUUUCAAAGAUUCAAUUUGGAAUGCAAAACGACUGAAACAAAAUAUUGCGGUUAAUGUCUUCAAAUGGCGCUAGGUGGUGUCGCAGUUUUGCGAAACGUUUAGUGAUGGCGCUAGCUACCACCCCGUUUCACGCACACGGCGCGAAUUUUGAAGCGGUUGGUUUAGUCGUUCAGUUGAAGCCAUGGCGCUUAACGUCGAAGCACCGGCGAAGGGGCCGCGCGUGUCGGAGGCGCAGAAGGAGACGGCGGUCGCCUUCAUGCAACAGCAUCCCCAGCUGGCUAUAAGAUCCAGCGAGCUGGGGCCGCGCUUCACUGCUGGCGACCGCCGACGGCUGUGGCAGCAGCUAGCCGACCAGCUGAACACGCAAGGCCCCGUCGCGACCGAGCAGUGGCAAGAGUGUUCGAGGCCCACCGCAACGCUGCCGCAAUUACUUAAGAACAAAGGUGAGUGACCGUCCAAUGGCCUGGGCGAUUUGUCCUUCGACAUUGGCGUGUAUUUUCAGAAGCACAGGAGGGCGGCGGCUACAUGGCUUUCAUGGCCGAGUGCUGCAGCUCAGCGGGACGGUCCGCCUCCACGGCGUGACCGACCUCUCCUACCAAGAGGUAAGCACACUGCCGCCGUAAUAUCAUGGGUUCCUGAAUGGUGCCGGUUUAGAGUUUGUCAUUAUCUGUAAGUGGUACCUUUAGCAGAACGCGACACCGUUGGUGAACAGGAAAAUAGCGUAGGAGGGAAUGGAAAAGCAGGUAGGUUAAUCAACUAGAAUCUCAGUUGGCUGCGUUUUCGGGAAAAGGGGGGUUAAGUGAUUAACACAGAAUUAGAAUGCCUUCACGGAAGUGCACGAGGACGGUAACACAUGGGAUCAUUAAGCACUCAAUAAUCGCACAAUAUUUUCGCAAAUUAGUACGAAAACGUGUAACCUAGGCAUUGUAACGAAUAGCCACGCUUAUGACAUUUUCCGGCAGGCUGAGGUCCCCACCUGCGCUAUGGAAGUCGUCGUCCAAGACGAGGCUGCGGGCGUGAGCACAGCGACACGUAAGCAUCAGAGGAAUUAGUGUUUUAAUUAUCGCCAAGUGUGUGUGCAGUUGGUAAACAUUUAAUGUGUUUACUCUACAGCGGCAGAGGAUCCACCGCGCGGCGCGUCGCCUGCCGAAUGGGUGGCCGCUGCACCUGGUAAGUUAUUGAUCCUCAAGCUGUUAAAUAAAAUGAGCUCUUGUAUUUUAUUGAACUAGCCCAAUAAGCCAUAACAUGACCAUAGCCACUUUCAUUCGUACCAUAAAAUGCAGUGCAACUGUAGAAAAUGCUGUAUGCUUUCAGUGUUGCAGCGCCCUGUUCGGCCACCACGUCGACAGCGACCGCGACGGGUGGAUACCCUGACGACGAUGUCGUCGCAGUGCGCCCGCAGCCUGGAACAGGGCGACGAGGUGCUGCAGGUGCUGCGCAGAAUCGAGGCCUCCACAACCCGCCUCGCUGUCGCGGCAGAGCGGACGGCAGCAGCCCAGGAGGGGAUCCUGGAGCAGGUGCGCGCCAUAGCGCAAGACAUCGCUGCUCACCUGCAGCAAGAGAGGAAUUAAUUUAUCAUUUUAUUCAUUUGUUUCACCAGUUCCGUUUGUUUUGUUUAUUUAUUGUUUGAGUUUCCUUUGAGUAAUAGAGGAGGAUUUUUUUGGUUGAGAGGUGCAAUGCGCGCACCCAUUUUUGUUCUGUUGUAUUUGCCUCUUUCUAUUUAUUUGCACAUUUCGAAGGCGCCUAGUCAUUCACACUGGAAUCGUUACAAAUAGUUGUCGAUUUCUGUGUAUGGGUUUUGUACUGCGAUAUUUAUAUUGCUUCACUGUGUUGUAGCUUACUGCACUCAUUAUGAAGCGUUACCGCAUAGUGUUUGCACUGUGAUAUUUUCAUUCCGGCACAGUGAGGCUAAGGUGCAACGACUACAAUGUCGUCUUUUUUUCAAAGCACCAAACUAGUCACUCUUUAAGUUGCAUAGUUUCACAAAUGAAAAUGACCAUCAUCAUUGCACCACACCAGUGAUUGGUUUCCUCUAGUCUUCGUUCCAAGGGAGUCAUUGCAAGAAUAUCUUUCACGCGUGACACUUUCUGGGUGCUGUGAGAUUGUAGAGCCAAUUAUUCAUGUUUUAUGUAACAUCUUUCAUCACAGCUGGCAAGUGCACUCACCUUUUUACAAUUAUGAUUCACCCGUUGUUUAGCAUCGCACUACAAUUGCUGCCGAGAAAUGAAUGCUUCUAGUCAGUGACUCAUAACACUGACAAGGGAAUGGACAUACCUGGGAUAGUCAUACUUUCUUGCAAGGUCACGUAAAUGUAACUGCAAGUUUUACAUGCCGUGGUGAAAACGAAUUGUGUGAUGCUGAUGUUGCAAUGUUGUCACAUGCUUUGCUACCUGAAGCAUGUUGUACUACAAGGUUUGUGAUGUACUUGUCAUCAUAGAGUGUGAUAAAGUUGACCUAUCUAUUUUUUGCGCUUUUACGUUAAUUUACAUCUACCCAUUUGGACAUGAUGUGACGAGUGUAAUGCUGUCACUACACUCGGCGUUACAUUUUGUUUGUGUUUGAAUCCGCAUUCAUCAUCAUCAUGAGCCUGGUUAUGCCCACUGCAGGGCAAAGGCCUCCCAUAGUUCUCCAACUACUCCGGUCAUGUACUAAUUGUGGCCAUGUUGUCCCUGCUAACUUCUUAAUCUCAUCCGCCCAUCUAACUUUCUACCGCCCCCUGCUACGCUUUCCUUCCCUUGGAAUGCAUUCCGUAACUCUUAAUGACCAUCGGUUAUCUUCCGUCCUCAUUACGUGUCCUGCCCAUGCCCAUUUCUUUUUCUUGAUUUCAACUAAGAUAUCAUUAAUUCACAUUUGUUCCCUCACCCAAUCUGCUCUUUUCUUAUCCCUUAACGUUACACCUAUCAUUCUUCUUUCUAUAGCUCGUUGCGUCGUCGUCAAUUUAAGUAGAACUCUUUUCGUAAUCCUCCAGGUUUCUGCCCCGUACAUGAGUACUGGUAAGACACAGCUGUUAUAAACUUUUCUCUUGAGGGAUAAUGGCAACCUGCUGUUCAUGAUCUCAGAAUGCCUGCCAAACGCACCCCAGCCCAUUCUUAUUCUUCUGAUUAUUUCAGUCUCAUGAUCCGGAUCCGCAGUCACUACCUGUCCCAAGUACAUGUAUUCCCUUACCACUUCCAGUGCCUCACUACCUAUCGUAAACUGCUGUUACCUUCCGAGACUGUUAAACAUUACUUUAGUUUUCUGCACAUUAAUUUUUAGACCCACCCUUCGGCUUUGCCUCUCCAGGUCAGUGCGCAUGCAUUGCAGUUGGUCCCCUGAGUUAAUAAGCAAGGCAAUAUCAUCAGCGAAUCGCAAGUUACUAAGGUAUUCUCCAUUAACUCUUAUCCCCAAUUCUUCCCAAUCCAGGUCUCUGAAUACCUCCUGUAAACACGCUGUGAAUAGCAUCGAGAGAUCGUAUCUCUCUGCCUGACGCCUUUCUUUAUUGGGAUUUUGUUGCUUUCUUUAUGGAGGACUACGGUGGCUGUGGAGCCGCUAUACAUGUCUUUCAGUAUUUUUACAUACAGCUCGUCUACACCCCGAUUCCGUAAUGCCUCCAUGACUGCUGAGGUUUCGACUGAAUCAAACGCUUUCUCGUAAUCAAUGAAAGCAAUAUAUAAAGGUUGGUUAUAUUCCGCACAUUUUUCUAUCACCUGAUUGAUUGUGUGAAUAUGGUCUAUUGUUGAGUAGCCUUUACGCAAUUCUGCCUGGUCCUUUGGUUGACGGAAGUCUAAGGUGCUCCUGAUUCUAUUUGCAAUUACCUUAGUAAAUAGUUUGUAGGCAACUGACAGUAAGCUGAUCGGUCUAUAAUUUUUCGUUUUUGGCGAAACGAAGUGUACUUCGUCUGUGUUUAAAUUAUCAUAAUCUGUCGGAUGUGUGGAUUUGGAACAUUGACCAUCCGUAUGGAGGUGCACUUGUUGUGUAUACAAAAUUUUUAAUGUAUUUUCCGCUGUACAAACACAGCCCUGUGAUAGCCUAAGGGCACGGCACUUUGUAUAAAUAAAUUAUGUAUUAUGAAAACUC